UCACCUGUCAGUGGACGCUUAGGUUGCUUCCAUAUCUUGGCUAUUGUGGUUAAUGCUGCAGUAAACAUAGGAUUACAGAUACUUCUUUGCUCUCAUGAUUUCAUUUCUUUGUAUAUGUGCUCAGAAGUAAGAUAGCUGCAUCAUCUGGCAAUUCCAUUAAAAAAUGUUUUUUUGAUUAACCUUUAUACUGCUUUCCAUAGUGGCUACACCAUCUAUAUUCCAGUAAGCAAUGACACAGGGUUCCAGUUUUUCCACAUCCAGGCCAAUACUUGUUUUUUUUUUUUUUAAUUUUCCAUUUUUUGGUAAUAGGUAUUGUAACAGGUAUGGGGUGGUGUUUCAUUUUGGUUUUGAUUUGCAUCUCCCUUAGGUUCAGGGAUCUGUAUUAUGGACUUAAAAUUUGUGAAGUUUUCCCUUUGUUAAGUGUUCUUUACCACCUCCAUGUUACGAUCUCAUGUUAAAUGUUCUUAAACACCGUCUACCCCACUCCACUUACCAAACAAAGGGAAACUUUUGGACAUGAAAGAUGUGUCUGUUCCUGUGAUUGCGGGGAUGGUUUCACAGGCAUCUGCAUAUGCCCAAGCUCAUCAAAUUGUCUACGUUAAAUAUGUGCAGUGUUCUCUAUGUACACUAUACCUCUGUAAAACCAGAAAUCCUGGCCAACAUGGUGAAACCCC